rnacentral:rRNA from 1 species
GUGGGGAAUCUUCCGCAAUGGACGAAAGUCUGACGGAGCAACGCCGCGUGAGUGAUGAAGGUCUUCGGAUUGUAAAGCUCUGUUAAUCGGGACGAAAGAGCCUAGUGUGAAUAAUGCUAGGAAGUGACGGUACCGGAAUAGAAAGCCACGGCUAACUACGUGCCAGCAGCCGCGGUAAUACGUAGGUGGCAAGCGUUGUCCGGAAUUAUUGGGCGUAAAGCGCGCGCAGGCGGAUCUGCCAGUCUGUCUUAAAAGUUCGGGGCUUAACCCCGUGAUGGGAUGGAAACUACAGAUCUAGAGUAUCGGAGAGGAAAGUGGAAUUCCUAGUGUAGCGGUGAAAUGCGUAGAUAUUAGGAGGAACACCAGUGGCGAAGGCGACUUUCUGGACUGUAACUGACGCUGAGGCACGAAAGCGUGGGGAGCAAACAGGAUUAGAAACCCGUGUAGUCC